rnacentral:rRNA from 1 species
GACGAACGCUGGCGGCGUGCCUAAUACAUGCAAGUUGAGCGAUGAAGAUUGGUGCUUGCACCAAUUUGAAGAGCAGCGAACGGGUGAGUAACGCGUGGGGAAUCCGCCUUUGAGCGGGGGACAACAUUUGGAAACGAAUGCUAAUACCGCAUAACAACUUUAAACAUAAGUUUUAAGUUUGAAAGAUGCAAUUGCAUCACUCAAAGAUGAUCCCGCGUUGUAUUAGCUAGUUGGUGAGGUAAAGGCUCACCAAGGCGAUGAUACAUAGCCGACCUGAGAGGGUGAUCGGCCACAUUGGGACUGAGACACGGCCCAAACUCCUACGGGAGGCAGCAGUAGGGAAUCUUCGGCAAUGGACGAAAGUCUGACCGAGCAACGCCGCGUGAGUGAAGAAGGUUUUCGGAUCGUAAAACUCUGUUGGUAGAGAAGAACGUUGGUGAGAGUGGAAAGCUCAUCAAGUGACGGUAACUACCCAGAAAGGGACGGCUAACUACGUG